GGAGGGUGGAGACUGACCUAAGGGGAACACAUUCUGAAGGAAGGACUGUUGGCCACUUAUCUUAUCCCCUAGAGACCAAUCUGUUUAAAGGUAAUACUACUGUUCUGCCAAUCACAUUGUACCUAAUGGUAUAAAAGGUCUGCUGUGCAGACUGCACAGGUCAUUCUCUGUGUGCAGGGUGACCACAACAUUUGGUGCGUGGGACGGGCACCUGACCUCCUGUGGGGACACGCUGGAGUAGUGUAUCGGAGGUCUCCAGCAGAUGUUCAUGAACCAGAAGGCUGAAGACCAAUGCUCCGACGUUUUGAAGUAUAAAUUGUCCAGCCCACGUCCACAGGACUAUAUGCCAAGAGAGAGGACUGCUCACAUCAGAGAAAACAAAUAAGAAAUCUUAGACCUCUUGGAUGCCCUAAUGAAGCCAGCAACUAUGGGUUGCUGCUUUCCCCACCAAGAAGGAAACAGCUGCCAUGAGAGCUAAAAAAGCUUAGAAGAAAUUUUCCCAAGUUUCAGAGUGCCCAAGGUAACCGGAUCAGACAAUGGUCCUGCUUUUGUCUCUUAAGCAUCCCUGGACCAUUGGGGGGCUGAUCCAUUGUGACUGAUCAAGAGGCUCCUGCCCCACCCCACCCCCAGCCUCUGCCCAGCUGCUCCUAUCCAGAGAGAGAGAAAGAGAGAGAGAAAGGAGAAACUUCCUGCCCUACAUCUAUUCCCUUGGGUAAGAGUUAAGAAAAUUUUAGGACUUGACCUUAUUACCUGGACUCACUUUUGUGGCCACUCCAGAAUAAGAACCCAGAGUGCUCAGACCAGGUCCAGUCCUGGGGGACAGGGC